ACGAGUGCACCGGGUACGUGAGGAACAUCAAACCAAUACCCUUCACGGUUGACUUGAAGACCUUCAAUCUGAUCUGGUAGAAGCACUGUAAGGAAAGAGGUGUCUGAAUGCUGAGUUGUGCCUAACGUUAAGUCAGGCUCUGGACAUGGUGGGUAGUAAUGGUUAAGCAUGAGUAAACCCUUUGAGCAAUCCAUCUCAUUCAAAUGGUUAGGGUCUAACCCUAGAGCUUCUGAUAAAAUCUCAAAGAGAAACUCUCCUAGAGUCAUCACAUGCUUUGUGUAUUCCAACAUAACAUCCCUGAAACAAUUCAUUACAUAAAUAGAUAACAUAUCAAACACUUUUGAAUUAACAUUACUAAUUUUUUUUAACAAUUUGAGGACCAUGCAACAUAUGUAUUAGGCCUUUAGUUUUGAACCGAACCGAAUCCGCUAAACAAACCAAACAAAAUUUUUGGUUAGUUCGGAUUUGGUAGGUUUAAAAAAAAAACGGUUUUGUCAAUUUUCUUCUUUCAAAAAGAUAAAUACUGUAAAUUUAUAAUCAAACCAUAUCCAAACUCAAACCGAACUAACCGAAUUUAACCAAAGUUAUCCAAAAUUUUAACAAAUUUAAACCGAAAUCUAAAUGAAAUAAAAAAAACUUUGGUAGAGAAUUUUCAAAACCAGACUAACCGAAUACCGAACCGAAAUUUAUUUUGGGUUAAUACAGUAAAAUUUAUGUUGAACCAAAUUACUAAAAACCAAACCAACUACCGGACUAACUGAACCCAGACGCCUAACAUGUAUGCAGCUUUUUAAAAUUUGAGAACUAAACCAAAUGUUCCAUCUAGAUGUGUGCCUCAAGGCAGGUUAAGCAAUGGAGUUAUCAUCAUACCUACAAAUCUCUGGCAAGUCCUCUGGUUUUGGAGGAUCUGGAGCUAUAUUACAAGAGAAAGUAUCUCUCCAGUUAGCAGCUGGAGAGCUGAAGAGAUCAAAGUUACUUAAAUACAUAAACUUUUUACUGAAAUCUCUCACGUAAUAUUGUUUCCUCACGUCUGGUGAUUGCUCAUGAAACCCACGAACUCCAUCUUUCAUCUUCUCUAAAAGAUCAAGCGGUACGCCAUGGUUAAUCACCUGGAAGAAACCCCACUUCUCUGAUGCCUCUUUAAUCCCUUGAACCACGUUCUUGCGCUUAGUCUCGUCCUCGAAGACUCGUCCUCCGAGAUCAAACGUUGGGAUCGUUGUGAGAUGUUGCAAGUCAGAGGAAAGUGGUUUAGGGUUUGAUAGUUUAAGAGAUGAGUGGUGGAAUAUGCGUGGAACCUCUGAGACUCCGGCGUCUACGAGUCCUUUUACACCUGUCUUGGUCUCGUCGAAGGCUUUAAGCUCGUUGACACGAUCGAAUGAAGCUAUCUUCAUCGUCUCCAUUGAACUUUGUUUAUCAGAUAACAGAACUAUCUGGUAAUAAACGUAACCCACAAAGAAAAAAAAGAAACUUUCUUCAUGGGGUUUUGGAGAUAAGAGCAGCGGUUACAGCAAAACCAUAGAUCAGAGAUAAGGUUUGUAAGAAGGAAGAAGACAACGGCUUGGGACUGUACCCCCUGGCCCACUGGCUUUGACACUGUCAUUUUAAACAAUCUAUACUUGUUCUUGUUCCACGUCAGAUUCAUCAUAAUUCAUAAAUAAUGUUCAAAGCACUCAGAAGCAGAACUUUACAAAUAUUUUUCUAAACAAGUAAUCGUGAACAAUAACCUAACAAAAUUCGUUGAGAUUAUUUGUGUUUAAUAUUCUGUUUCACAAAGAUAGAUUUUUCUAAUGUUAUCGCACAUAUUAAAAAAAUAUAUUAAAUUACUAUAAUUCAUUUCUAUAAUUUUUAUUUUUCAAUAAUUUUAAAUAAUAUUAAUUCAAUAAAGUUAAUUAACUUUUCUUAAGAUCAUAAUUUUUUCAUAGAAAAUACAAAAGUCUAUCUUUGUGAAACAAAUUUUAUUUUCUAAAAUAUCUAACUUAACGAAACGGAGAGAAUAAUAUAUUCUGCUUUACAUGCUCUUUCAUUCCACUGACGUAAACCAAAAAUCCGAACCAAAAUUCUGAGCCAAAAUUGUGAACCGAAAUAACCAAACUUAUUUUCUAAAAUUUUAACCAAAAUUUAGCCAAAUUCAUAAGUCUCGGUUAAGUUCAGUGAUUUUUUUUUUGGAUAUUGAAAUAACUGAAAACGGUUCAAUUCGGCCAAACCAAACUAUUCGAGUUCCAAACAAACCGACCCGGAAAAAAUCCGAACAUGCUUGCCUAUCAACUCAUGAGCAGUAAAUAUACUUUUUUCAGCUUUAUCGGGACUUCAUAAGAUUCUUAGGAGUGAAGCAUAAAUAGAAAUGCUUAUGAACCUCUUGGGAAUUCUUUUAUUACAUAUAUAUAGUUUCAUGUCGCUUAUGUUUCGAGAUAGCUGUAGCUCACUAUGUUCAUAUUUUAAAAUGGAGCAAAGCAGAGGUUCCGUCUAGACCUUUGGAAUUCACGUAAGCAGAGUAGUCUCUAAUGGUGGUCUCUCUGUACCUUGGAGGAUUUUCUUCAGACACAAGCUCUUUUAUGGGUCCGUACAAUCUAGGAUUCGGUCUUAGACCAGUGGUGAAGAAGCACGCGAUGGAGACACGAGCUUGCCUGGCUUUGUUUGCUAAUACACGAUGCUCCAAACUGAUAAACUUGUCGUUUGUUAUAAGCUUCACAAAAACAAACAUAACAAACCAAAAAAUUAUCUUUGAACCAAGAGGAAAAUCAGUUAUACAAUUACAAAACAGGGCAAAACAGAGCAAAACAGAGCAAAAGGUGUUGAUUGUGCAAACUAACCUGUAGAAGAUCUCCUAUGUUGAUAAUGAGUGCACCGGGAACAUGAGGAACAUCGUACCAGUGCCCUUCACGGUUGACUUGAAGCCCUUCGAUCUGAUCUGGAAGAAGCACUGUAAGGAAAGAGGAGUCUGAAUGCUGAGUUGUGCCUAACGUUAGGUCAGGCUCUGGACAGGGUGGGUAGUAAUGGUUAAGCAUGUGCAACCCCUUUGAGCAAUCCAUCUCAU
rnacentral:lncRNA from 1 species